GUCCAAUUCAUCUGAAAAUUUCAGGGCAGAUAGAUCUUAAACUGAUAAACAAUUUUACCCCAUGUCAGAUUUGCUCUAAAUGCUUUUGGUUUUGAGUUAUAAGCCAAAAACUGCAUUUUACCCCAUGUUCUAUUUUUAGCCAUGGCGGCCAUCUUGGUUUGAUGGCCGGUCACCGGACACAUUUUUCAAACUACUAACCCAAAAGAUGAUUGUGGCCAAGUUUGGAUUAAAUUGGCCCAGUAGUUUCAGAGGAGAAGAUUUUUGUAAAAUAUUACUAAGAUUU
rnacentral:lncRNA from 1 species